GAGUAGCUGGGACUACAGGCGUGUGCCACCAUACCCGGCUAAUUUUAUUUAUUUAUUUUUGUGGAGACAGGGGUCUUGCUAUGCUACCCAGGCUGGUCUCGAACUCCUGGCCUCAAGAGAUCCUGCCCCAGCUUCCCGAGUGGAUUUCUGUUUUUUAAUGGCUAUUUCCUUUUCCCCCUGACAUUUACAAAAUGCUUACAUAUGCCAGGCACUAUGUUUAGUGCUUACUUGGAUUCUCUCAUUUAACCCUCAAGUAAUUCUCUAAGGAAAGUACUAUCAUGUCACCCCCAUCUGAGAGGACUGAGGCUCAGUGAGGUCCCGUGAGGUCACAGAAACAGCUUUUAAACUGUGUCAAGAUAGCCAGAGCUGGAACAGCAGAGCUACGCUGAUUGCCCACUGGACACGGAAAAGCGGCUUCUCUCACACGAAGGUGUGUUCAGCAGGUUUCCCUAGGUUAAAGGAGAAAGGCUGGAUGCAGGAUAGAAAGAAAAAUGCUUUGCUCCAUGAAGGUGGAUUCUGAAGGGUGUAUUUGACUGAGGAGACAACUGUAAAGUCCCUUGGGAAUUGGUCCUUGCUCUGAUUUUUGCCACCAAAGUACUGCUGUCAAACAGAUUCAAACGGGUUUCACAAUUAAUGUGAAGAGGCUCCGGUUACACCGCAAAUGAGUGUGAUUGCUCCUCAGGAUUAAGGAUGUUUUUCUGUGGCUGAACUGAAGCAUCUGUCCUCAGGGCUGGAGGCUGGGUAUCACCACAGCUGACCUCCUCUCCAUGGCUCUUGCUGCUGCUAAUCCUCCAAGAUGAAUCUGAAAGAGAAAACAACUGCUUAGUUGCUACAAAUCAUAGGAAGACUCUGGUGAGAAAAUCUCCAUAAAAGACUUCGGAAAAGAUAUGUGUCUUAAGGCAGAACUUGAGGAAAAGCAGGAGACUUGGCACAGAAGCCGCAGAAGGCUUUUUCCAUGUGUAGGAACUUGCAAGGAUGGCAGGAGGCUACAGAGAGCAGACUUGAAACCCUGUGAAAAGAAGAAAUAAGCAAA
ensembl:lncRNA novel transcript